CACCCUUAGCGAGAGGUUUAUCAUUAAGGUCAACCUCUGGAUGUUGUUUCGGCAUCCUGCAUUGAAUCUGAGUU
rnacentral:sRNA from 11 species